rnacentral:rRNA from 1 species
UACGGGGGGGGCAAGCGUUGUUCGGAAUUACUGGGCGUAAAGCGUGCGCAGGCGGUUAUGCAAGACAGAUGUGAAAUCCCCGGGCUUAACCUGGGAACCGCAUUUGUGACUGCAUAGCUGGAGUACGGCAGAGGGGAUGGAAUUCCGCGUGUAGCAGUGAAAUGCGUAGAUAUGCGGAGGAACACCGAUGGCGAAGGCAGUCCCCUGGGCCUGUACUGACGCUCAUGCACGAAAGCGUGGGGAGCAAACAGG